AGUGAACGCUGGCGGUAGGCCUAACACAUGCAAGUCGAACGGCAGCACAGUAAGAGCUUGCUCUUACGGGUGGCGAGUGGCGGACGGGUGAGGAAUACAUCGGAAUCUACUUUUUCGUGGGGGAUCACGUAGGGAAACUUACGAUAAUAGCACACACGACCUGCGGGUGAAAGCAGGGGAUCUUCGGACCUUGCGCGAUUAAGUGAGCCGAUGUCGGAUUAGCUAGUUGGCGGGGUAAAGGCCCACCAAGGCGACGAUCCGUAGCUGGUCUGAGAGGAUGAUCAGCCACACUGGAACUGAGACACGGUCCAGACUCCUACGGGAGGCAGCAGUGGGGAAUAUUGGACAAUGGGCGCAAGCCUGAUCCAGCCAUACCGCGUGGGUGAAGAAGGCCUUCGGGUUGUAAAGCCCUUUUGUUGGGAAAGAAAAGCAGCAGGUUAAUACCCCGCUGUUCUGACGGUACCCAAAGAAUAAGCACCGGCUAACUUCGUG
rnacentral:rRNA from 1 species